GGAAGGAUCAUUAGCAAUGGAUAUAGUAUAUCUAGAAUGAUAUCUAGAAUAUAUGGGUGCACGUGGCGUGCCAUGUGUAUAUGUACGAUGUAAGGUAAAUGAUGCAUAUAAAGUUGAAAAUACUUUGGACAAUGGAUCUCUAGGCUCUUGCAGCGAUGAAGAACGCAGUAAAGUGCGAAAAGGGAUGCGACGUGCACGAAUCUGUGAGUCAUCAAGUGUUUGAACGCAAAUGGCACUCGGCUGCGAGGCCGAGUAUGUGUGCUUGAGGGUCCCAUUUGGACUAUACUGUGUGUAGUGUAGGCGUGUUCUCUGACCAUAUGGGCAUAUGUAUAUAGUCAUAUGAUCAUAUAGUCAUAUGUGGUCACUGGACGGAUGGCAGUGCAGGCCCAUGAGCUAGUAGUAUUCAUGGCAGUGCAAAUGGUAUAUGUCAUGUAGCAAUAUAGAGUAUAUACCAACAUAUCAUACGGACCUCAAGUCACACAGGAGUACCCGCUGAACUUAAGCAUAUCAAUAAGCGGAGGAAAAGAAACUAACAAGGAUUCCCGCAGUAACGGCGAGUGAAGCGGGAAGAGCCCAAAUUUGGAAUCUGGCCGGAGCGGGCCCGAGUUGUAGGCUAGAGAGGCGCGGUCGGCAGCGGCAGCACGCCCAAGUCUCUUGGAACAGAGCACCGCAGAGGGUGACAGUCCCGUGGGGGCGUGCAGGCGGCAGCCGGGAGCGGCGCACUCGACGAGUCGAGUUGUUUGGGAGUGCAGCUCAAAGCGGGUGGUAUACUCCAUCCAAGGCUAAAUAGAGGCAAGAGACCGAUAGCAAACAAGUACCGUGAGGGAAAGAUGAAAAGCACCUUGAAAAGGGAGUGAAAAGCGCGUGAAAUUGUCGAAAGGGAAGCGCUUGGAGGUCUUUGGAUAUCAUGGUAUAUGUUGUCAUGUGCUGUGAUAUCGCUGUCAGGGCCGAUUGGGGCGGCAGGAGAAGCGCGGGUGCUGGCAAAGCUUCUUUGCGGGUGUCUGUGUGUGCUGGCGCCGCGAUUGGCGAACGGGAGGGUGCAAUGGUGGAGGGUGAUGCGGCAUGGUGUGCGUCAGUUCUCGUAGAGACUGGCACAUACUAAGCGCAUGGCUAUGCACUAUAUAUCCUCCCACUUGAUGUGAGGGCUUCAAACGACCCGUCUUGAAACACGGACCAAGGAGUCUAACGUACAUGCGAGUGUUUGGGUGGCAAGCCCCAGCGCACAACGAAAGUGAUAUCUAGAGUAGCAUUAUGCUACGCAUAGAGGGCCGACUUUUAAGUAAAAGAUCGCGCAGGAGCAUGUCAGUUGGGACCCGAAAGAUGGUGAACUAUGCCUGGGUAGGAUGAAGCCAGAGGAAACUCUGGUGGAGGUCCGAAGCCGUUCUGACGUGCAAAUCGAUGGUCAAAUCUGGGCAUAGGGGCGAAAGACUAAUCGAACCAUCUAGUAGCUGGUUCCCUC
rnacentral:misc_RNA from 1 species